rnacentral:lncRNA from 1 species
UUCCAGGGUGUGGUUCUGGUUCUGUCUUGUCUGUCUCUUCUGUGGUUUCCAACUUUUUUAGUUGUUGAAGCAGAAGCUAUCCUGCCUCUCUCCUCAUGGCCGUUUGCUAACUUUCUGUGGGCCGAGGUCCGGCUCGGUCCGGACUCUCUCUCCUCAUGGCCGUUUGCUAACGCCCCGCGGGCCGAGGUCCGGCUCGGUCCGGACACUCUCUCCUCAUGGCCGUUUGCUAACUUUCUGUGGGCCGAGGUCCGGCUCGGUCCGGACUCUCUCUCCUCAUGGCCGUUUGCUAACGCCCCGCGGGCCGAGGUCCGGCUCGGUCCGGACACUCUCUCCUCAUGGCCGUUUGCUAACUUUCUGUGGGCCGAGGUCCGGCUCGGUCCGGACUCUCUCUCCUCAUGGCCGUUUGCUAACGCCCCGCGGGCCGAGGUCCGGCUCGGUCCGGACUCUCUCUCCUCAUGGCCGUUUGCUAACUUUCUGUGGGCCGAGGUCCGGCUCGGUCCGGACUCUCUCUCCUCAUGGCCGUUUGCUAACGCCCCGCGGGCCGAGGUCCGGCUCGGUCCGGACUCUCUCUCCUCAUGGCCGUUUGCUAACGCCCCGCGGGCCGAGGUCCGGCUCGGUCCGGACACUCUCUCCUCAUGGCCGUUUGCUAACUUUCUGUGGGCCGAGGUCCGGCUCGGUCCGGACUCUCUCUCCUCAUGGCCGUUUGCUAACGCCCCGCGGGCCGAGGUCCGGCUCGGUCCGGGACUCUCUCUUCCUCAUGGCCGUUUGCUAACUUUCUGUGGGCCGAGGUCCGGCUCGGUCCGGACUCUCUCUCCUCAUGGCCGUUUGCUAACGCCCCGCGGGCCGAGGUCCGGCUCGGUCCGGACACUCUCUCCUCAUGGCCGUUUGCUAACUUUCUGUGGGCCGAGGUCCGGCUCGGUCCGGACUCUCUCUCCUCAUGGCCGUUUGCUAACGCCCCGCGGGCCGAGGUCCGGCUCGGUCCGGACUCUCUCUCCUCAUGGCCGUUUGCUAACGCCCCGCGGCCGAGGUCCGGCUCGGUCCGGACUCUCUCUCCUCAUGGCCGUUUGCUAA